rnacentral:rRNA from 1 species
AACGCUGGCGGCGUGCCUAAUACAUGCAAGUCGAGCGGACUGAUUAAGAGCUUGCUCUUAUGACGUUAGCGGCGGACGGGUGAGUAACACGUGGGCAACCUGCCCUGUAGAUCGGGAUAACACCGAGAAAUCGGUGCUAAUACCGGGUAACAUCUGAGAUCACAUGAUCUUAGGUUAAAAGAUGGCUNCGGCUAUCACUACAGGAUGGGCCCGCGGCGCAUUAGCUAGUUGGUAAGGUAAUGGCUUACCAAGGCGACGAUGCGUAGCCGACCUGAGAGGGUGAUCGGCCACACUGGGACUGAGACACGGCCCAGACUCCUACGGGAGGCAGCAGUAGGGAAUCUUCCGCAAUGGACGAAAGUCUGACGGAGCAACGCCGCGUGAGUGAUGAAGGGUUUCGGCUCGUAAAGCUCUGUUGUUAGGGAAGAACAAGUACCGUUCNAAUAGGGCGGUACCUUGACGGUACCUAACCAGAAAGCCACGGCUAACUACGUGCCAGCAGCCCGCGGUAAUACGUAG